rnacentral:tRNA from 1 species
GCCGGGGUGGCUCAGUUGGUUAAGCAUCUGACUUCGGCUCAGGUCAUGAUCUCACAGUUUGUGAGUUCAAGCCCCGCCUCAGGCU